GAACAAAAUACUUCUUCAUUCAUAGACGAGGAUGAGGGGGAGGAUGGAGCCGGGCCCACAGGGGAUGAUGAUGAAGAUGAGGAUGAGGAGGGGGAGGAAGGAGGAGGGGUUGGGCUCUCUUACCUGAUGAAGGAAAGGAUCCAGGUGAGACGACUGAAAUGUCUCAUGUUUUAUCCAAAACGUCAUAAUGUUUUACAUCCUGCGACUCGAGUCGACGCUUUAAUUUAAAAGAAACUUAACCCCCCCCCCCCCCUCCACACACAGGACGAAGAAGAUGAUGACGACUACGCAGGAGGAGGAGGAAGAAGAGGAGAAGGCAGGAGUCAAAGGGGAGAAGAGGAAGAGGGAUGCUGAGGACGAAGGGGAGGAGGAGGAUGAUGAUGACGACGACUAGGCUUGUCCUUCCCCUGCGAACCUCUGGAUCCAGAUCCAAGUAGAACAAUAACCACAAAAAAGUGUGAUCUUGCAGAUUGUUUCUCUUUGUAUACCAUAGAUAUCACUGUAGAGGCUGUUUCUUUUAUAUAUAAAUAUAUAUAUGAGAUACUAUACGAAAAGGAGAUUUUAUCAACAAAUAAUUUGUUCAUCGUUCUAAGUUAAAUUACCACCCCAAAAAUCUCAUCAAUAUGCAGGCAGUCUAAAAUUAAUGGAGGUAGGG
rnacentral:lncRNA from 1 species